rnacentral:lncRNA from 1 species
CCCCAUCCAGGUGUUCACCUGCCCCAUCCAGGUGUUCACUGCUCCAUCCAGGUGUUCACCUGCCCCAUCCAGGUGUGCCCUGCCCCAUCCAGGUGUGCCCCGCCCCAUCCAGGUGUACCUGGAGCUCCCCAAAGCCACACCUGUCCCUGCUGGGCCCAGGUGAGUGCCCAGGUGAGGCCUCGCAGCGCCGGGGUCACACCUGCCCACAGGUGAACGCUGGCGGUUCCUCCUCCGCUCUCGGUGACGUCACAGCUCAGGUGUCACCCCUCACCUGUGCCCCAGGUGUGGCAGAGUUUGGGGUCCGCACCUGCCCGGGGGUCCCUCACCUGGGGCUCAGGUGUCACUGUCCAGGUGUUGCUGCUGCAGUUUUGGGCUCCGAACUCCAUUUUUGGGGCCCACACCUGUCUGGGCUCGCAGGUACCGAGACCUUCCACCUGGGGCUCAGGUGUCUCAGUCCAGGUGUUGCUGCUGCAGUUUCGGGUUCCACACCUGUCCAGGUGUGCAGUUCUGGAGUCCCCUCACCUGGGGCUCAGGUGUCACUGUCCAGGUGUUGCUGCUGCAGUUUUGGGGUCCAAACUCCAUUUUUGGGGUCCACACCUGUCUGGGCUCGCAGGUACCGAGUCCUUCCACCUGGGGCUCAGGUGUCACUGUCCAGGUGUUGCUGCUGCAGUUUUGGGUUCCACAGGAGAUUUUUGGGGUCCACACCUGUCUGGGCUCGCAGGUACCAACUCCUUUCAGCUGGGGCUCAGGUGAUGCAGAGUUUUGGAGCCCACACCUGUCCAGGUGUGCAGUUUUGGAGUCCCCUCACCUGUGGCUCAGGUGUCGCUGUCCAGGUGUUGAUGCUGCACCUUUAUGGGGUCCAAUCUCCACUUUUGGGGCCCACACCUGUCUGGGCUCGCAGGUACCGAGUCCUUCCACCUGGGGCUCAGGUGAUGCAGAGUUUGGAGUCCACACCUGGCUGGGAUAUCCUCACCUGGAGCUCAGGUGUUGCAGUCCAGGUGUUGCUGCUGCAGUUUCGGGUUCCACACCUGUCCAGGUGUGCAGUUCUGGGGUUCCUUCACCUGGGGCUCAGGUGUCUCAGUCCAGGUGUUGCUGCUGCAGUUUUGGGCUCCGAACUCCAUUUUUGGGGUCCACACCUGUCCAGGUGUGUGGUUUUGGAGUCCCCUCAACUGGGGCUCAGGUGUCGCUGUCCAGGUGUUGCUGCUGCAGUUUUGGGCUCUGAAUUUCAUUUUUGGGGUCCACACCUGUCCAGGCGUGCAGUUCUGGAGUCCCCUCACCUGUGGCUCAGGUGUCGCUGUCCAGGUGUUGCUGAUGCACCUUUAUGGGGUCCAGUCUCCACUUUUGGGGCCCACACCUGUCUGGGCUCGCAGGUACCGAGUCCUUCCACCUGGGGCUCAGGUGAUGCAGAGUUUGGGGCCCACACCUGUCCAGCUGUGCAGUUCUGGGGUUCGUUCACCUGGGGCUCAGGUGUCACUGUC